CAGCGACCUUCAUAUCACCGAACAACGGCGGCUCCGCACUGGAUUCCUCCGUGCAUCCGCGCGAGGUGUGGGGCCUGGGAAUUGCAGAUUAGACCGAGGUCAUCGGCGAGCUCAUCUGGAACCCCCGACGAGGCAUCCGCGGUAGUGGUUGGAGAGGGUCGGAGGUCACCGGCAAGCGCAUUUGGAUCCGUCGAGGUUUCCGCUGUGGGGGAGAGGGGCUGAGAGCGGAGAUGUUUUUUCAGAGACCCAUGUUCUUUUGAACUGAACUCGAGGCUCCUGGUGGAAUGCUGAUUUUUGCAGCCAACAAGGAAGUGGGUUUUUGCUGCUGCCGGAAGGCUUCCUACCGGUAGAAAUAAGCAUAUAAAUGUUAGUCCAGCCACCCGCACAAUGUUUUUAUGACACAUCUGUGUGUUUACAUUUUUUU